rnacentral:lncRNA from 1 species
UAUCCACCCCAACGAAUUUGUCCAGGUUUUUAUGAAGAUAAAAUAGACAGGAUGAGUCCAAAUGAGAUUGCUAAAAGAGGCCAAUGAGUCGCAAAAAAAAAUGCAUGGGGGUUCGGUUACAACCUAAACACGCUAGGCGACCCUAAAGGUCUGUCGUCUUCCCAACCUUUCAGAGGCUUGAGUUGUGGGCCGGAGACUAGUUACUUUUGAGUCCGGCUAAGGUUGUGAUUAUUCCCCAUUUGGAAAAAACCGAUAUUGAAAAAACCCAAAAAAUAAAAAAAAAGGAAGGAAAGAAAAGGAACAAUAUUUCAGCAAGUGAGCUUUGUUU